UAAAAUCUAUCUUUGGAUUGACCGCUGAUUUUGGCAGCCAGCUGAAUUGCAAAACCUUUUACUCUUUAACAUAUCAUAACCUCAACUAAAAUACUUACUUGUCUGUCUUUUCGGCUAUAUUUAUGAAAUUAUAUCAAUAUCUAUCGUAACUGUGUUACUUCAACUUGCGCGUAACCAUGGCAAUUGGUUACGUGGUGUGUUACUCUGAUUAUGGCUCAUCAUGUUUGUUAUUAAUGCUGCUUAUUUCGUUUUUAAUGUUUUCAAAACUUUGUUUAACCCUUUCCCUAUCAUUUUAGCUAAGUUCUAUCUCUCCCAGCUCCCUCGUCGAGAUACUUCUUUUUGUCAACUGUGACGGGCCCGCUCAAGAUGGCCGCGGAGAGAGCAGUAAAGACAGAAGCUGAAGAGGACGAUAUAGAAGCAGGAGGGUCAUUACGUAUGGAAUAAGUGAAUCUGACGAUGAGAAAAAAAGCUGCUGAAGUUUUUGGUUUAAAGCUAAUGGUACUGGUAGUUUUGCUUUUGGUAUUUGAGACGGACUUUGGGAACUAAAACUUUCUUUGAAAACCCCUCUAAACAGGAGGUGAUCUACAAUAAUGAAAGAUGAUCUAUUUCUGGCCAGAAAUUUGCGGAGUUCAAUC